rnacentral:lncRNA from 1 species
UCUGGCUAUGUAGGAUCCUCCCUCUCUGCCUCCAGCAGGCUGAGUCACAGGAGUGUGGGGUCCCCUCAGACCCCAGAACCUUCCCUGACACCCAGGCCACAGCCUGGCACGGCACUCUGAACUGUCCUCGCUGGUGGGCGGAAUAUUUUUAUUCUCCAAACUCUCCAAGCACACAGCAAAAAGGCCUCAAGGAGCUUCUAAAAGAUUCUCAAUAGGAUAAGAAGCUGGUGCAGAGCUUCAGCCAUGGAAGCUUCCAGCCUGCCAAGCAUUGCCUCUCAGAGCAGGGCAGUAAGUUGGUGGAGGUAGGUUGGUGGCCGCCAUGAGUGAGCGUCAGUCCCCACUGGACCCAGAAGCCAUGGGAGCUGGCCUGG